UCCUGGGUGACGAGCGGCGGACGGGUGAGUAAUGUCUGGGAAACUGCCUGAGGGGGGGGGAUAACUACUGGAAACGGUAGCUAAUACCGCGUAACGUCGCAAGACCCCAGAGGGGGACCUUCUGGCCUCUUGCCAUCUCAUGUGCCCCCAUGGGAUUAUCUAUUAUGUGGGGUAACGGCUCACCUAUGCGACAAUCCCUAUCUGGUCUGAGAGGAUGACCAGCCACACUGGAACUGAGACACGGUCCCCACUCCUACAGGAGGCACCACUGGGGAAUAUUGCGCAAUGGGCGCAAGCCUGAUGCACCCAUGCCCCGUGUAUAAAAAAAGCCUUCUGGUUGUAAAGUACUUUC
rnacentral:rRNA from 1 species